rnacentral:rRNA from 1 species
GAUGAACGCUGGCGGCGUGCCUAAUACAUGCCAGUCGAGCGAACAGACGAGGAGCUUGCUCCUCUGACGUUAGCGGCGGACGGGUGAGUAACACGUGGAUAACCUACCUAUAAGACUGGGAUAACUUCGGGAAACCGGAGCUAAUACCGGAUAAUAUAUUGAACCGCAUGGUUCAAUAGUGAAAGACGGUUUUCUGUCACUUAUAGAUGGAUCCGCGCCGCAUUAGCUAGUUGGUAAGGUAACGGCUUACCAAGGCGACGAUGCGUAGCCGACCUGAGAGGGUGAUCGGCCACACUGGAACUGAGACACGGUCCAGACUCCUACGGGAGGCAGCAGUAGGGAAUCUUCCGCAAUGGGCGAAAGCCUGACGGAGCAACGCCGCGUGAGUGAUGAAGGUCUUCGGAUCGUAAAACUCUGUUAUUAGGGAAGAACAAAUGUGUAAGUAACUAUGCACGUCUUGACGGUACCUAAUCAGAAAGCCACGGCUAACUACGUG